UACGGAGGGUGCAAGCGUUUAUCCGGAUUCACUGGGUUUAAAGGGUGCGUAGGAGGGCAGGUAAGUCAGUGGUGAAAUCUCCAAGCUUAACUUGGAACUGCCGUUGAUACUAUCUGUCUUGAAUACCGUGGAGGUGAGCGGAAUAUGUCAUGUAGCGGUGAAAUGCUUAGAUAUGACGUAGAACACCAAUUGCGAAGGCAGCUCGCUACACGAAAUAUUGACUCUGAGGCACGAAAAGCGUGGGGAU
rnacentral:rRNA from 1 species